GUGAGUUUGUAGCCCAGCUGUCUCCCCCAAGCCCCGCUGGCAGGAAUGGAAACCCAAGCUCUCUCGUAAUGCAGGGGAUGAUGCAAACUUAGAAACUGACCCGGCGCCCGGGAAUGAGGCCCCCCCGCCCCGGGCGUGCGGCGGCCCAGUCGGGGCAUGAAUGGCUGGAGCCCGAUUGCAUAAUCCGCGCGGUAUAAAUAGCCGGCGGGCGGGCCGCUGACGCGCUCGGUUGUGCCGUUAUCGUGCAAUGCUUCAUCCCCGGUGCCGUUCAAUCCCAGGUCGUUUUCCCUUUCAGCUGCAAUGCCGGGAUUUUAAAUAGCAGAGAUGAAAGGCCCCUGCCCCCGCCUCCCUCCUCCCCUGAGUUCAUGUAUUAUGAAUGAAACGGCAGCCUCGCUGCUUCCUGAGGUGCUCCACUUCAGGAAGAUGUGCCCUUCGAAUGGUGUCUCCAGGAUCAGAGAUGGAUCUGUCUUCAUCUGUCCAUACCCCAACUCACCUUGUUGCUAUAAGAAACUGAGCCCUCCAGUUCAAGAAUACAAACCACAGAGAGGGGAAUACUGAAGGGAAAUCUAAAAGGUUGGAGUGCAGUGGUGCUGUGUCUGGAGUUUGUUCCUGCCGUUGGGUUUGUGGUCUUGCUGACUUCAAGAAUGAAGCCACGGACCUUCACGAGAAAUAUUACGUUGUAUGGAUGUACCACUGUUUGUUUAUCCAUUCUUCAGGUGAAGGACAUGUGGGUUGUGCCCAGCGCGGGCUGAAUAAAGCCAUCAUAAUGUGAAGAAGCCGAAGCAGCCUGUGAAGAGGCGCUAGUGGAAAGGAACUCAGGUGCCCCUGCCCUCAGUCCCAGCUGAACUCUCAGCUGACAGCCAUCACCAACUUGCCAGCCACAGGAGUGAGCCAACUUGAGAGUGGAUCUUUCAGUCCCAGUGGAGCCAUCUCAGCUGACACACCAUGGUAAAAAGAUGAACCAUCCUUGCUGAUCCUUGCCAGUGCUGCAGAUACAUAAGCAAAAUAAAUGUUUUUGUUGUUUUAAGCCACU
rnacentral:lncRNA from 1 species